rnacentral:rRNA from 1 species
UACGUAGGGGGCAAGCGUUGUCCGGAUUUAUUGGGCGUAAAGAGCGUGUAGGCGGCCUGAAAGGUCAGCUGUGAAAACUCGAGGCUCAACCUCGAGACGUCGGUUGAAACCAUCUGGCUAGAGUCCGGAAGAGGAGUGUGGAAUUCCCGGUGUAGCGGUGAAAUGCGCAGAUAUCGGGAAGAACACCGGUGGCGAAGGCGGCACUCUGGGACGGUACUGACGCUGAGACGCGAAAGCGUGGGGAGCGAACAGG